rnacentral:rRNA from 1 species
AAGUCGAACGGACAAUUAUUUAUAGCUUUUGGCUAUAGGCAAUUGUUAGUGGCAGACGGGUGAGUAAUGCGUAGGAAUCUACCUAGUAGUACGGAAUAGCCAUUAGAAAUGAUGGGUAAUACUGUAUAAUCCCCGCGGGGGAAAGAUUUAUCGCUAUUAGAUGAGCCUACGUUAGAUUAGCUAGUUGGUAAGGUAAUGGCUUACCAAGGCUAUGAUCUAUAGCUGGUCUGAGAGGACGAUCAGCCACACUGGAACUGAGAUACGGUCCAGACUCCUACGGGAGGCAGCAGUGGGGAAUAUUGGACAAUGGGCGAAAGCCUGAUCCAGCUAUGCCGCGUGAGUGAAGAAGGCCUUCGGGUUGUAAAACUCUUUCAAUAGGGAAGAUAAUGACGGUACCUACAGAAGAAGUCCCG